GGAAAAUUAUCCUAUGCUUUUAUGCAUUAUCCCUCAUCCUCAUUUGUAUAGCAUUUUCAUUUUAUUGUCGAGUUAUCUUAUGUUGGGUAUUUUAUAAGGUUAUUAUUGAUUGAUUUUCUUACGUCUGAUUACCUUUUGACUUUUCAUGCCUUAAUAUUUGAGUGUCUCAAGUUUAGCUUCAGAUCAGAUUUGUUGAAAGAUGAUGUUUCACGUUUAUCUUCUGAUCAGAUUUGUUUCACCUUGAACAAUUACUGCACUUAGAAAAUAAUGGUUCUUGCGUCUACCGUGUCUCUCUAUCUAAUAUUUGUUAUUCCCUUUUACUUUGUAAUGUAUUUCUCAUUUGAAGAUGGGAAACAUUAGUAUUAUUAGUUCACCGUGUUUGCUAAGUUCUUCCCUCUUUUUGCAGCCAACUAGAUAACAACCAAUUUAAGGGAAGUCGAUGAAUAAACUCUUGGUUGUAUUGAAGCUUUGUUCUUGAAUAAGCACGAUUCUGCCAUCAGCGCAUCUUCAACUAGCUGAAAUUUUGUUGCAGAGUUCUUCAUUUAAUGAUAUUAUGCUUCUAAUACAUGCACAUUGUUUUCAUUCAGUUUUUGAAGGAAUAACCGUUAGAGUUGCAGGUGGUUGGACUUUUGCGAGGUUUCAAACCCCUUUAAUACGAUAAGGCACAGUUGGUGCGUUAGGUGGUGUCAUACAAGUGAAUGCAUCACUCUUACUCCUUACUCCGACUAGAGUCACAAGGGUUAAGGUAAAUAGGCCAGAGAAACGCUACUCUUGCAGCUAAAAAUGUCUCAGAAGACUGUCCAGAUCACUGUCCAUGGAAAAACACUGGCAAAGAUGCAGUAUAGACAAAAGGUGAUCAAGGCAAGGCUUCUAAGUCUGGAAACCGUAAAACCAAUGAGGCAUAUGGCAUGGAUAUGCACUUAAUGGAUGAAAACGUAAGAAAUAUCCUUCUUAACUUAGGAUUUGUUGAAUUAUAAUCGUUAUGUUGUUACUGUAGUGAAAACAAGUUCACUACAUGUCAUAGAAAACUCAGAUGCAUGCAAAGUUACCAAAGGAUCUCACAGGAAUUUUUGAGAUUCAGUUGGUCGAAGGAUACAUAUUCCAUUGCAAGGUUACUCUUAUCGUCUCCGUAGGGAAAUUUCAGAAUUGUUGAUUGUACACAUGUUAUGUGGUUUAACAAAUUCAGUAAAGUAAAGCUGUCAGACAGCGAUAAACCGGGAUUUCCAUAACACAAGUUCAACUUCAUAGACGCAUCUAGCAAAGUGGAUGACACCACGUUCUAUUUAAGCAAGGAUUGCAUUGCAUUUCAGUUACCUAUGCAAUUUAAGAUACGUGUCUCUGACAUAAUUAUUUCGUGGAGAUGCUAUCAGAAAAUUGAACUCCGUCUUACCAUGGUAGCCUUCGAUAGCCAGGACAGGGCCUGCAAAGUGCCAAAGGGUGAAAUAAGAAUCCAAGAUGCCAAAGGGAUCAACAUGAAGGUAAGUUUUGGGAGAGAAUGACGCAAACCAGAAGAGGGGGGGUGACAAACGAACACAGAAAUGCGCCAAUAUUGUUCUUAUCAGUGAAACGUUCCCUUGCGAUCUCUAUGUAUACCUUACUGCAAUAUGCAACCGGACAAGACAUUCACCUGCUUAGCAACGAUUCUGGGCUUGGUUGAGGUUAGAGAGUGGUUCCACAUGGCAUGCAAGAAAUGCACUAAAAAAGUUGAUUAUGAAGAUGAUGAGCCUUACUGCAGCAACUGCAAAAAAGAUUUUGAAGAAGAGGUACCAUGGCAAUUAUAACUGACAUGUUUGGUGCAGGAACAAUCCACUGAGAUGUAUUAACUUCAUGGAGUAUACAGGGGUACAAAUUAAACCUAGCCGCAAGAGAUUACACAUCAACUGCAGUAUUUACUGUGACGGGAAAGAGGACAGAAAAGCUGAUUAGAUGCACUAUUUAUAAAUACAAGUGGAGUGCACAUGUGUUGCACGUCGGCAAACGCUAGUUUUUUCAUGUUCACGAAUCAUGGCUAAGAGUGUUGCUGCCAAUCUGCCACAUCCCGUAUCAGCCAUGUCCUAACAAAAUCCCUAACAAUCUUGCAGCGAAAACAUCAAUUAUAAAUUUACUUAUCACCAAGAUAUAUUCAAAAAUCACAAUAAUGAACUUGUAUAGAAGAACACACAAACAGGUCCCAGAGU